rnacentral:lncRNA from 1 species
ACAGAAUAGAAUUUUUCCAACUAAAGCACUAUUUUAAAGAGAAGUCUGCUUUUAAAAUAUAUCAAGAACUGACUGGCUGGGUGCGGUGGCUCAUGCCUAUAAUACCAGCACUUUGGGAGGCCGAGCAGGGCAGAUCAUCUGAGGCUGGGAGUUUGAGACUAGCCUGACCAACACGGAGAAACCCCAUCUCUACUAAAAAUACAAAACUAGCCAGGCGUGAUGGCACAUGCCUGUAAUUCCACCUACUCUGUAAUUCCACCUAGACUGAAGCAGAAGUGCUUGAACCCAGGAGGCAGAGGUUGCAGUGAGCUGAGAUAGUACCACUGCACUCCAGCCUGGGUGAUGGAGUGAGACUCUGUCUUAAAAAAAAAAAGUAUAUAUAUAUGUGUGUGUGUGUGUGUGUAUAAAAUUAAGAACAUGUAUCUUAAUCUUAAUUGGAUUAAUCAGUGUCAAGGCCAUGAAUAUUUAAGAUAUCAUUAGUCAUGGUAUGAGACCAUGUGUAUACCACAUAAGAAUAUAUGUAUAAGAUUAAUAACAUCUUAACUGCUUAACUCAGUGUCAAGGCCAUGAGUAAAUAAGGAUUUUAAGAUUGUUAGUUAUGGUAUGAGACUCUUGAAAACUUAUUUUUAUGAUUGGCAAGUUAUAUUGCUUAAUUUUCCAGUUAAUUUUUCAAUCAAUUUUUUCUUGCUAAAUGAGCUGUAAAAUCUCUUCCAGAUUAAAGAGCUUUCCUGCAACUUUUCUUAUCCUGUUAAUAUCUACCAUCAUUUUUAAACAUCUGGAUUAAUUACUGAUUUCUAAAGUAAGUCUCAUGAUAUGAGUGCUUGUUGCCAAAAUUACUUAUCUUCAGUCCUGGCUUAUGAGCCUAAAUUGUUAAAAACUAUAUAGUCCAGGCCAGGCACAGUGGCUCACGCCUGUAAUUCCAGCACUUUGGGAGGCCGAGGCAGGUGGAUUGUCUGAGGUUGGGAGUUUGGGACCAGCCUGACCAGCAUGGAGAAACCCUGUCUCUACAAAAAAUACAAAAAAAGUAGGUGGGC